CAGCACUGCACAGCUGAUUCAAAUGAUCAACUCAUCAUCAAGCUUCAAGUGAUACCUUGUAACAGGAGAUUCCAUCAAAACGAUUUCCUACAGUUACCGUGUAGGGCACUGCAAGGUUGGGUGACCAGGGUCAUCUGGGACUGCCUCCUGGAGGAAUUCAGGUUAUAUCAGCUGUGUCGGUGAACCCCUCCUGC